rnacentral:tRNA from 1 species
GUCAAGAUUGCCGAGUGGUUAAGGCGCCAGACUUAAGAUUCUAAUUCAAAUAAUAGAUUAAUAGGUAAUCUUGUUAUAUCCGUUACUUGGCUUUGUGGUCUUCGAAGAAGGCGUGGGUUCGAACCCCACUCUUGACA